CACAGUUUGAUAAAGCUGGGCCUCUGUGUGUGAUAUGUUCUGUGGAGACGAGUUGUGGCUGGAAGAAAUCAUCAUGACGGUCUGGGCCGGAUGGAGAAGAAAAGAGGAUGAGAAUGCGCUGACAUAGUGAGGAGACGACUGGGCGUCACAUUCUGCAGAGAGAAGAUUUAGCAGGAACAAGUCCUGGCGGUGAUCCUCAUGUCUUACGGAAGAGCGAGAAGAAUCAUUAGAACAGUUGUCCAAGAGUCAAGGACACUGGUGGAGAACUUCACAAAGGCCUGGAAUUAGCAGGUAGAAAAUGUCUUCUGGUUGGGAUACUAGUGGUGCAAGCUUCUUCAUGUCGAAGUCCAAUCUCACCUUGACCGAUGUCAUGGACAUGGGAUUUGUUGCUACUGUACGGGAUAAUUCCUCUCCCUUCCCAGCACUCGAGCAACUGGACUACAGAACAAAGUUUGGUGGCUCCCCAUUCCUCAUCAAGUCAUCGGAGACCACGCCACAAGCGAGCGGAGGAGGCAAGCUAUGGCUGGGAGUGGAAGAAGCUGGAUCGGUGGCUUGCAGAUCCCCACUCAAUCCUGAAGGCCCAGUCUUCGAACAGUCAUCCAUGACAUCGGAACCGAUCGGCCAGUUUAACAACUCGAUAGUAGGGGUCUUCUAUGGUGCUAAGGUGUCUACACCCUAUAAGAAAGACGGUCUGGAGACCUCAGAUCCUCUAAUGGUAGAUAUUACCAUCUCUAAGCUGCAAGAUUCAGAAGUGGUGGUCAAUGCCAUGGGACAACAGAAAACUGCCCCACCCAUGUGGGAGAUCUCCGAAAUAAACUCUGCUCUAGAAGAGAACACUCCGUCUUUAGAUGUCUCCAUCUCCGAUCUGAGAUUCCCGAAUGGGUCUAAUGAGUGUGAACCGCUGGUACCUGCUCAGCCCCCCGCUUCUGCUCCCUUUACUCAAUGGGUAGGUGUCAAGCACAAGGACAUGGGGCUGUCUUUCCUCCAACCCUUCCACUACCAGCGCCAGCUGAGUGCAUCGGAGAUCCCCGCCGUGGGUUUUGCCCCUUCACUUUUGUCUUUUCAGGUUUCCGCGGUGACUCCUGAUAAACCAGGGGAGUGGCAGCUGGAGGUCAUGGGGGCACAGGCCACCUAAGCUUGAUGCAGGAAUUUUGUUGACCUUUUGAGUUACCUUUACCAACUCUUCCAUUGUAACUAUUAUCAAUUCAUAAGCAAAGAAGAAAUAAACUGGCGUGCUUUAAGUAAAUUGAGAAGCCAAUAAAGGCAUUGGAACAGCUGGAGCUGGUAUUAUUCAGGUCAGGAGUACGACCCACAGAGCUAGGCACUGCCUCUUGUGUGAACUCUGGAUCAAAGUGCCGCAGAUCACCUGGACCAGCCUAAAAAGAGGCAGUAGAUGAAGGCACAAGAAACAAGUGGCUAUAGCCCUGGAGGACCACAGACAUCCAUGAAUUAUCUGGACUGUUUACUGUGUGCUGUCACACAUGCUAUACCUUUUAUAUGAAGAGAAACCAAGGUGGAAAAAGCAAAACAAAAAGAGGGGCGCUACCAUUUGUAAUAGUACAAGGCAUCUGGGGACCCAACUUCCUCACCACAGAUGUUAAAAGUUCCUAGUCCAGAAGACCCGUGGGCACAUUGGAGGACAACCACAAAGGCACCGACCCAAUUUCAUACAUUCUGUAUUACCCCAGACACAUAAGAUGCACUUUAGACUUACCUCCCGAAAGAGAUUGAGAGGAGCAGCUAUGCAUUUCUGUUCCUCCAGGUAGGAAGACCAAGACCAAGAAUCUCCCAGCUCGUCUCCUGAAACUUUGACAUUGCAGUAAAUAAGGCGAGUGUUAAUAACUGUAGUGAAAACAUGUGGGGACUGGACGGAUGAAAAAAUUAAAAAAGUGCGGGGACUGAGAUAGUCAGAGCUCAAGCGUGUGUGUAUACACAGGGGCUGGGGCACAAUCUGGAUACAGGAGGAGUCAGCGCCACAUGCAGGGAUAUAACCGGGGGAAAGCAGUGCCGCGUGGGGCAUAACACCGAAAGCAAUGGUUAAAGGGGUAUUCCAGGAAAAAACUUUUUUAUAUAUAUAUACUGGCUCCAGAAAGUUUAACAGAUUUGUAAAUGACUUCUAUUAAAAAAUCUUAAUCCUUCCAAUAAUUACCAGCUGCUGAAGUUGAGUUGUUGUUUUCUGUCUGGCAACAGUGCUCUCUGCUGACAUCUCUGCUUGUCCCGGGAAGUGCACAGAGUAGAAGAGGUUUGUUAUGGGGAUUUGCUUCUACUCCGGACAGCUCCCGAGACAGGUGUCGUCUGAGAGCACUUAGACAGAAAAGAACAACUCAACUUCAGCAGCUCAUGAGUACUGAAAGGAUUAAGAUUUUUUUUAAUAGAAGUAAUUU